rnacentral:rRNA from 1 species
GUCUACGGCCAUACCACCCUGAACACGCCCGAUCUCAGAAGCUAAGCAGUGUCAGGCCUGGUUAGUACUUGCACGGGAAAUAGACA